CCUGAAAUCUCCAUUUUUUACCUGCUGGUGUGAGGAUCAGGGCUUGCAGGAUGUCUGACAGGGAGAUAAUACCCACAAUACUAUCUGCUUCAUUCACUACCACCAACCGAUGGACCUGCAAAGAAAAAAAAAGUCUAAGUAUAUUCUGACAAGAUGUACUGACUAAAAGCUCCUGGGCAACUUUUGUUUUCUCAAGUGUUCGUUUUGUUUUCAUUCUAUGAAAGUAUCUUGCCAAUAUUUUCCACUCACAAAAAUGCAUCAAAUUCACUCAACUCAGCAGGCCUUCCCAUCGGAGUGUACUGAGCACUGUUCUGGGGCUUAGAACGCCGUGAACCCCCUCUACAGACACCUGUGGCCUGCCUCCCAGGGCUGGGUCUCAGCCUCCCAAGGAGUCUACCCACUACUUGCUGUGUGUGUGCCCAGCAGACACGAGGGAAGAUGUGUGGCGGGCUGCGGUCCCUCACCUCGGCUCUCACUAUUCUGUCCACAAUGGUCUCCAGUGUUUCCAGCUUACUGCACUUGACCACACCCUCAAAAUACUGUGAGCGGUGCUGCAGGGCCUGGGUCACCGUGAUGUCUAGGUUAUUGUACGUUUUCUCAGCAGCAAGAUUCUGUAAGAGUCAUAAGAAAAAAAAAUACAUCUUUCAUUUCCACUUGGAUGAACUAGCAGGUUGAUUUUUUUUUUGUUCUUUUUUUUUUUUUUUUUCCCGGAGCUGGGGACUGAACCCAGAGCCUUGCGCUCCAGAGCCUUGCGCUUCCUACCACUGAGCUAAAUCCCCAGCCCCUGAGCAGGUUGAUUCUUUUUUUUUUUUUUUUUUUUUUUUUGGUUCUUUUUUUCAGAGCUGGGGACUGAAUCCAGGGCCUUGCGCUUCCUAGGCAAGUGCUGUACCACUGAGCUAAAUCCCCAACCCCGAGCAGGUUGAUUCUUAAAGACACUGACAUGGGAUCUGGCACAGGAGCUCUCUUCUCAGCUAGUGUCACACCACCAGCACGGUUCCCGCUGAACUCAGUCACACUCCUAGGCGUGCCUUGUCUGUGGAAAUGUUCAUUUGUUGUUGUGUUGUUAAAGUGGGGGUUCAAUCUAGCACCUUAUGCAAACUAAGCAGGUGCUCUACCACUGAGCUACCCCUAGGCCUCUCCCCGCUCCCUUUCUAAAUUCUAAGUCGUGUUUUCCUAAGUUUUCCAGGCUGGUCCUGAACUUACUCUGCAACCCGGGCAUGUCUUAGGCUCCUUCAGAGCUGGAACAACAGGCUUGGGAGACAGACGCUGUGUGGUUCCCUUACAGAGAUUUCCCUUAUUUAUGUGUGUGGCAUGCCUACUGACAGUGCUCUCUGCCAGGCUCCCCCACUCAUGUCCACCAAGGCUACACCCCACAUGAGCAGCAUCUCUUGAGACACGGACCAACACCGGCCAACAGUGAGACGCCUCGGAGGGAGGGGUCUGCAUCAGUGUCUCCCAGUGGGUUCUUAGGGAAGUGUGGGGCCCGUCAAGAUCAAGAAGAGACUCAAGAAGCCCAGAAAGCCAGAGUCUCCCAUGACUCCCACCGAAUUUAGUGGGGCCGUUCAUCCAAGGUUCUAAUGAAAAGAUUUCUGGUUUAAUGAGAUGAUUUUUGGUUGAAUCAAAAGACAGCUGCAAAACCAUAAUUAGUGGCAGGGUCAAAACUGUAGCAAAAUGUGUGUCUGGUUCAGCUGUCAAACCUGUUUCCCUUUCUUAGACACAGUGUGAAACUCAAAAAUUACAUUAAAGAUGGGUGGGAAAGACUUGGCCAGCGUCACAGACGUGCUUUGCUUGAAGAACCCCAGGAAACUAGGCCCUAGAUCUGUUUCGUGGCUGUUUCCUUAGAACAGUGUCUCCCAACCUGAAUGGGAGUUGCACUGACAGCUACCCAGCUCGUGUGAGCAUUGAGCACCCCCAAAAGAAACACGGCCAGGUAAGGCUCGUGGGCUGUAGGGACAGAGGCAAUGAGUUCCCAUCAAAUGGCCAAGGUCAGCAAAAGGUCAGCACACACUUAACACACAGCUCAUUGGUAAAGCAAUGGCUCUCUGAAAUACCCCCCUCGGGAGGAGACUUUCACUCGAGAAGUCAGGAAUUAUUACAUCAUGGAAUAAACGACUUAGUGCACUUUUAGUUUUCAUUUGUUUUAAAAUGCAUGCUGAACGACAGGCUUAAAAAACAUGAAAAAGUACUUACAAUUACAUCAAACUUGGAGUAAAUAUCUACAACUUUUCCUAAAAAUGAAAACAUAUGUUAGAAGAACAUUUUAGGAACGGUAACUCAUUAAAAAAAAAAAAGUCCUGAUUGAUAACUACGGGGCACAUUCUCGUCUUCCUGCCGGCUAACUACGGGAGCUGGAGCCUGGCAUGCGUUUCUCUGCUGUCUGCCCACUUCCCACUCAUCCCGGCCCAGGAGCAGGGAUGGCCUCACAGACCUGACUCAUCCACCACAGGCAGCGCAGAUAUCCGUCUCUCCACAAAGAUGUUCAAGGCUUUGAUGAUGGGGGUAUUCGGGUGAAUGAAGGCAAUAUUGUGAUAUGUUCCUAUUCCGAGCUCAUCCAGGUUCUGCUUCAUGAAGGCGGGCUUUGGCAUGUCAGACAU